rnacentral:rRNA from 1 species
GACAGAGGGUGCAAACGUUGUUCGGAAUUACUGGGCGUAAAGCGCGUGUAGGCGGCCCUGCAAGUCGGGUGUGAAAUCCCACGGCUCAACCGUGGAAGUGCACUCGAAACUGCAGGGCUAGAGUCCUGGAGAGGAAGGUGGAAUGCUUGGUGUAGAGGUGAAAUUCGUAGAUAUCAAGCGGAACACCGGAUGGCGAAGGCGGCCUUCUGGACAGUGACGUGACGCUGAGACGCGAAAGCGUGGGGAGCAAACAGGG